UGUAUCCUACGGGAGGCAGCAGUGAGGAAUAUUGCACAAUGGGGGGAACCCUGAUGCAGCGACGCCGCGUGGGUGAAGGAGCGUUUCGGCGCGUAAAGCCCUAUCGGCAGGGAAGAAGAUGACGGUACCUGACCAAGAAGCCCCGGCUAACUACGUGCCAGCAGCCGCGGUAAUACGUAGGGGGCAAGCGUUAUCCGGAUUUACUGGGUGUAAAGGGGGCGCAGACGGCAACGCAAGCCAGGAGUGAAAGCCCGGGGCCCAACCCCGGGACUGCUCUUGGAACUGCAUGGCUGGAGUACCGGAGG
rnacentral:rRNA from 1 species